GAGAUUCUUCAGAUGUGCGCCUCGGCUGCACUCUGAAUCCACUUCACACACCGUGCGCCUCGAGCGGGGGAGACCCCGCCCGCCUUUACACAUCACACGAGUAAACCUGAAUGUACAAUACCAUAACUUGACA
rnacentral:misc_RNA from 1 species